rnacentral:rRNA from 1 species
GACGAACGCUGGCGGCGUGCCUAACACAUGCAAGUCGAACGGAAAGGCCCUGCUUUUGUGGGGUGCUCGAGUGGCGAACGGGUGAGUAACACGUGAGUAACCUGCCCUACAUUUUGGGAUAACUUCACGAAACUAAGGCUAAUCUCGGACCGGAGCCCCUCCACCAUGGAGGGGGUUGGAUAGUCUCGGCGUUGGGGGAUGGAUUCGCGGCUUAUGAGGUUGUUGGUGGGGUAGGGGCUUACCAAGCCUUUGGCCGGUAGCCGGCCUGUGAGGGUGGCCGGCCACAUUGGAGCUAACCUCCGUCCCAGCCUCCUACGGGAAGCAGCACAGGGGAAUAUUGCACAAUGGGCGGAAGCCUGAUGCAGCAACGCCGCGUGCGAGAUGCCGGCCUUCGGGUUGUGAACCGCUUUCGCCUGUGAAGAAGCGUGAGUGACGGUAAUGGGUAAAGAGGCACCGGCUAACUACGUG